AGAAAAUGAAUAAAGGAAAGGUAAAUAAGAACAUAACUAUAUCUAACAACUGUUCAAGAAGCUGGAAGAAUCACACAUCACACACAGCUGUACCGAUGCCAGGUCUGCGAGCUGGAAGGCUGAGAGCUCCAGGUUCUCUGCUCUCUACCCUUUGCCCAGGUCGACUUCAAGGCAGGAACCCCUGGGGACUUUGCUGGGCUUCCAUGUUCAUUGACAGAAUUCCUAUAGCAUCUUCCCCCCAGGGCACAGCCUUCUCUGCAGAAAGAGAACCAACCAGGGCCGAGCAGGAGGCCAGCACUACGGCUAACCACACGUGAUCUCAGGCAGAUCACUUCGUCUUAGGCUUCCCAUCCUUUCAACAGGAAAAAUUACACCUCGCAGAGCAACAGAGACGGUCAGGCAGGUCAAUAUACCUUAAAACAUGUGGGAAUAAAAGUCCAGGAUGCUCUUUAUAACAGGAUACUCUGUGUAAUAUAAACACCGUUUGAAUGAUCACAGGAAUAUGGAAAUCAUUUAAAUGGCUUUUUUUUAAACUAAAAGACUAAAGUUCAGUUAGAAACAGCUCAUCCUUUCUACUGAAAGUUUUAAUUAUCUCACUCCUUUUGUCCAAGAGAGGCAACAUUUCUGAUGAGGACACCUAAGAAAUAUCUACAAAAAUCUGUACAAACAACCAAGGGAGCAAUAACCAAAAUACUUUCAGGCUGGAAAGGGAGAAAAGGGUUACGUGACAACACAGAACCCACUGUCACUAAUAGCCCUGGGACCAUGCCUUUGAUCCACAUGGCGAAAGGUGUGUUCACUUUUCCAUCAUCCCUUAAAAGGUGCUCACAUUUUGAGUCAUAUCUUUAUGGCCACAAUUUUUCCUCUUUACAAGCACUUUACUAAGUACUAUAAGUACCAUGUGCUACAUACACAUUUAUAAUGAGUUUCAAUAGCUAGUAAUGACUAAUCAUAAAUACUUGAAUUUUUAUUUCUGCUCCAAUCUAGAAGUUAGGUCAAGUUUAGGUUAAGCAUGAGCUUUACCAGCCAAAUCAACCCUCAGCAGCCUCCUAAAGACAUCACUCUCUGCCAGCGGUGGCUGGUCAGACCCAUGGGGCUUGCUCACUCCUAGCCUGGCCCCUCCAUUGCAGUUUGGCCCAGGGAUAGACAUGCCAGGCUCUCCAGAGUUCCAGAUGGGAGGUGAGUUCCAGAUGGGAGCUUGAUGCCACGGCUGGUGUCUGCAGAUUCCUUGUGAGCAUGACUUUGCAGCCUGGCUGGCAUCUGCCAGGAGUGCACCCCUUCACACAUAUUCUGGCACACUCAGAGAUCCUGGGUGAGGGCAGUUCUGUAGCAUUCCCCAACUGACCUCCUGCUGGCACUACACGUCACUGAAUGUGGGGACAGAGUUGGUUCCAGAGCAGUCAAAUGGGGCAAGGGAGGUCACAAGGGGAGUGUCAUUUGGUAUGCAAGUAAGGGGUGUGGGAAAAUCCUAAGACAGCUCCCCAGUAUGGCAAGUCUAGCCAUCAUGCUGGUUUUCAGAGCCAACAGUUGCUUCUAAGAGCUCCUGCUAGGGGUCCUCGGAACACAUUUGCCUUCCCUUUUAGAUAUCAAGGUUUGUUGUCUGGCCAGGUAGAGUCAAUUUCCCAUCCAGUGCUUCUAAUAAGCUAUAAAUUAUAUUUCCUUCAGGAUCCUGGCCACAGUAUAUACAUUGUUCCACCUGGUCAGAGCAUGUUAAAUUAUAUGAUGGCUCUUUGCCUGUAAGUAUGCUGAGAUUUUGAACACAAUACACUGGGUAAGCCUUGGCUCUGGAUAAGUCUUAGAAUGGUUCUUCAUUCUUUAGCCACUGAGAUAACAUGUGUUUUUAGCUUAAUAAGAAAACAAAACAAAACAUGUAGUUUUUCCAGGCUGCCUGGUCAAGAGGAUCUUAUCAAAAUCCAGAAAACGCAUAGCAAGUGGCCUCGGCUGCCAGGCACAGGGCUUCAGGUGAGAUGCCAAAAUCACUAAGGCUGUAUUGCAAGCUUAAAAACACCACUCACAUGCAAGCCUUUUGAAAACUUGAACAUUAUAUAGACCUUAAAAAUAAGGGGUCCAAAGUAAAUAAAAAUAUGUGGCUCACAGAAGCUACAGUCAAUUCCUCUUACAUGACUCAGGUUACACAUCACCAAGGGAAGCAAGCAGUGUGAGUGUAGAAAGAUGCUUAUAAAUAGGUAAACUUCCUCUAGAUUGUUUUGGUUAAGGAAUUUUGGGGCUUUCUGGCAGUUGUUAUAAACCCAACUGUUUCCAGGACCAGUUCUACUUUUUCUAGGCAAAGAACAGUCAAGCCAAUCUACCAUCUUCGGCAUAGAGUUCAAGAAGUUUCUCCCAAAUGCAGUGUGAAUAGAGCUCAAUCAGGUUCUUAGCUGCACCAGGAUUCCAAUGAGAGAUUUUCUAUCCUGACUUUGAUCCUUAUGCCCACCUCCUCUUGGUUUCAAUUAUAUAUAAGGGGAGGCUAGGAGUUGCUGGUGGGGUUAUCAUCCAAUGAUCUAAACAUUCACCUAUAAGGAAGACCAAAGCAGAGUUCAUAAGUAAUAAUUAAAUAGCUUCUUGGUUGAUCCAUGUUCCUGUCAUCACACUCCAUUCAUGUGCUUAUUCAAUGACUUGUAUAUUCCUGAGUACCUAUUAAGUGUCACUCUGUUUUAAGCAAUGAUUCGGUACUUGCUGUCAAAAAGCUAUGUAGUUGUACAAGGAAGGAGGACAGAAAAAAAAACAAACAAUCAACCUUUACAGCAGGAUGUAGUAAGUACAACAACACCAGGGGCAAAGGGAAGGAUGAAUAAAUUUUACCUUCAAAAGAGGGAAAAGUUCUGUGUCUGCAAGUGAGAAAGAAAAAAAAAUAAAAUAAAAAAUAAAAAAAAAAAAAAAAGAGGGAAAAGGCUUUAUAGGAGGGGUACCAUUUGAUGAUUGAGUCUGAAGGCUAACGGAAUGCCCCUAGGAGAAUGGAGAACAGCACCUUUGGAAAUGGUCUUCCCAAUACAGAUAUGCUAUUCAUGAAGCCAUGACAAUGGCCAUCCUUCAGCCAUUCUGGCCUUCCAGAACUAACACAGCAAACAAAAGAUACCUUGAAUAUAGACUGUCCAUAAGCUUUCCAACCAAGGAGUUAGUGUGAAACUCCUAACUGGUCUUUCUGAGGAGCUAGAUUCAGACAGAAAUGCAUUUCAUUUACCAAGAUCUUUUCCCAAAAUCAUAGCCUUGGCUAAACUUGGUCACUGCUAAAUUCUCCAUCAAUCAGGUGGCUGGACACAUAAGGAGCUUUUGGCACUGGGCUGUAGGAGUAGCACUUGCAAGUGUGCUGGUAUCCUGGGAAGGGAUGAUAUUAAAGUCAGAAGGAGAGUUAAAAGAGCAGACUCUUUGAAGACUUUCCUCAUCUUGCCAACUCCAAUAGACGCACUGACUCAUUAUUACCGAGAACACCUUCAGAAGCAGAGCGGCAACAUUGGGUGCGGAGCUGGGGUGGGGUGGGCGCUGUGGCUGUUUUAGCUCGCCUGGAGGCAUCAGAGCUAACUGCCUGGUGCCGCUUGGACUGCCUACCUUCUGUAUGAGGAGUUGACAAACAAGCGUGAAAGAGCCAUAGCUGGAGAAUACAGAAUUAGAUGAGGGCUAAAGUGAGCUGCUCCCUUGGUCACAAGAUUACUAUUAACUCUACAAGAUUCAUAAAUGGGAAUGAAUUCAGGGGAAAAUGGAUAAGAAAGGUUGCUUGGGCACUAGAGGCAGCAAGAAUAAUAUUAUAGGAAUUUUAAAGCUGACCACAGGAACAAAGCCAGUGCCUAGUGGAUCUGGGAGUGAUCAGAAGAAGCAGAGAUAGUAAGUUGUUAGCCUGCUCUUACAAGAAUCCUAAUAGUGAAAGGAAGGUAAGUUGUAAGGCAGCACGAAGAGGCAAGGGCAGGGUCAACAAUAGCUUUGAUUUACUUUUUUCCCUAAGUACUGAGGAGAAGCAUUUUCCACCAAAGGCAAAGGACAGGUGGGUAGGGAGGAGCUGAGGGAAGUAACAAUCAGAGGAACAAGAGGAGCUGGGACAGGAUCGGGUCAAGAGGACAGGAUACUGUGAUAGCCUUGGCGGGGAGAAGGGACUGCUGGUCAGGGAAACACAAGGAAGUUGAAAAAUGACAUCUGUAAACAGUUACACUUUGUGGUGCAGGGGAGAGAAGAUGAGAGAUACUUCUAGGUUUGGCUGUUUUUCUUUUUAUCAGUGAAGUAGAUAGUGACAUCGGUUGAGAGGGGAGUGUUGUAAGGUUGGACACAAAUGGAAAAGUGUGAAAGGAUGGGAGAAGAAGGAAUGCAGUGGUGAGUCGAAGGAUCCACAGCUACUGUUCUGCUUUAGAGUACUCACAAUCUAUUCAGCAAGCAACCCUGGUACGAUGCCACUUUAUUAAAUCCCACUAUGUAAAAGAGGCACGAGAGCCUCUCUUCAAGGAACUGAUAGACAGGAUCACCGGUGGUAGGGGUCAGAGAUGGCAUAAUUUUAGCUUCUAAAUGAUGCUGGGGAACAUGAUGGGCAGGCACGCUGGGUGGGUUGGCUAGAGGUACCUACAGGAAAUUGCGGACAGCCAGCACCCUUGAGCAACCACAUUGUUGCCUUUCCAGUGGGCUUGAAAAACCUCUCUGCUCGGACUCAAGGUUGGGUGCAUGGCUCUGGAGUGACCAGAAGUUGUCAUUUGUGAUUGAUGUCAUCAUCCCCAUAACCAACACUUAUGAAGUGCUUUCUAAGUACUUUACAUAUAUUAUUUAUCUAUAUUUUACAGUCAACUGAAUCCCAGGAAGGUUAAAUAAAUUAUCCAAGGUUACACAGAGAUGAGAUAUGAACCCAAGGAGUCUAGAUCCAGGAUUCAUGCUCUUAACCUAUAGAAGCAGCAUUCACAGAAGCUGCUGCCUACUUCUCCAACUUUCGACGCAGCCCAAGAUGAAAGCAAGGCAAGUCAGUGCCUGGAGUUAGGACGCCUGUGUGUAUUUGCUGCUCUUCUGGCCCAAGUGGCCAGGCUACUAGAUCACCCAUUUGAGCACCAGAUGACAUAGAAUAAAGUCUCACAUUAGCAGCUUGAGUUCAUUCCACAUUCUACUGCAGAACACAAGCCAACUGCAUGGGAGGUCCAUGGUGAUUCCAUUUUCUUUGUGACUUUGGGUUGGAAUUUGGCUUAAACACCGAGAGUGCUGGAAGCCAGGGAGUGGUGUGAAGAUGCUGAUAGUGCUGGGAUUACUGUUCCUGGGAAAAUGAAGUCCUGCGUGGCGGGAAGUGGUCCCCCAGGGGCAGCAGGCAGGUGCCGGCUCCCUCACCUGCCUGGGAGCAAACCUGUGGCUGCACCACCCCAGGCUGCCCUGGCCAGCAUGGCCUCAUAGUGGUCCACAGAAGGGCUUCAGGGAAUCAGAUCCAGAGGAAAAGGUUUUCCCACAAAACUCCUAUUUGUAACUUUUCAGAAUUAAAAUGUUCAACAUGCA